GUGCUUCAGCAGCACAUAUACUAACAUUGGAGAUACAGAGAAGAUUAGCAUGGCCCCUGCGCAAGGAUGACACCAAAUUCGUGAAGUGUUCCGUAUUUUU
rnacentral:snRNA from 1 species